rnacentral:rRNA from 1 species
CACGUAGGGCGCAAGCGUUGUCCGGAAUUAUUGGGCGUAAAGAGCUCGUAGGCGGUCUGUUGCGUCCGCUGUGAAAACUCGGGGCUUAACCCCGAGCCUGCAGUGGAUACGGGCAGACUAGAGGUAGGUAGGGGAGAAUGGAAUCCCCGGUGUAGCGGUGAAAUGCGUAGAUAUCGGGUGGAACACCAGUGGCGAAGGCGACUUCCUGGCCUGUUCUUGACGCUGAGGCGCGAAAGCUAGGGGAGCAAACGGG